rnacentral:rRNA from 1 species
CCUACGGGAGGCAGCAGUGAGGAAUAUUGGUCAAUGGACGAGAGUCUGAACCAGCCAAGUAGCGUGAAGGAUGACUGCCCUAUGGGUUGUAAACUUCUUUUAUAUGGGAAUAAAAUGUUCCACGUGUGGGAUUUUGUAUGUACCAUAUGAAUAAGGAUCGGCUAACUCCGUGUCAGCAGCCGCGGUAAUACGGAGGCUCCGAUCGUUAGCCGGGUUUAUUGGGUUUAAAGGGAGCGUAGGUGGAUUGUUAAGUCAGUUGGGAAAGUUUGCGGCUCAACCGUAAGAUUGCAAUUGAUACUGGCAGUCUUGAGUACAGUAGAGGUAGGCGGAAUUCGUGGUGUAGCGGUGAAAUGCUUAGAUAUCACGAAGAACUCCGAUUGCGAAGGCAGCUUACUAAACUGCCACUGACAUUGAUGCUCGAAAGUGUGGGUAGCAAACAGGAUUAGAUACCCUGGUAGUC